GACCCGACUUGGUAGACGCUGUGGUUAGCGUGGAGCAGUCGCGGGGCCAUUGCUGUCCCUCCCGCCUCGAGCCCGUGGCGGCAUCUCCGGGGCAUCUCGUCAGGUUUGACCUCGGAUCAGGUAGGGGUACCCGCUGAACUUAAGC
rnacentral:rRNA from 1 species